UACGUAGGGUGCAAGCGUUGUCCGGAAUUAUUGGGCGUAAAGAGCUCGUAGGCGGUCCGUCGCGUCGGCUGUGAAAACCCGGGGCUCAACCCCGGGCCUGCAGUCGAUACGGGCAGACUAGAGUGCGGUAGGGGAGACUGGAAUUCCUGGUGUAGCGGUGAAAUGCGCAGAUAUCAGGAGGAACACCGAUGGCGAAGGCAGGUCUCUGGGCCACUACUGACGCUGAGAAGCGAAAGCAUGGGGAGCGAACAGG
rnacentral:rRNA from 1 species